GAGACACGACCGGCGCACGGGUGAGUAACGCGUAUGCACCUACCUUUGGUAUGAGGACAGCCCGGGGAAACCCGGAUUAAUACCCGGUAUAGUCUAUUAUACACCUGUAUAAAAGACGAGAGCUACGGCGGCCAAAGAUGGGCAUGCGUGCCAUUAGUUAGUUGGUAGGGUAACGGCCUACCAAGGCAUCGAUGGCUACGGGGUCUAAAAGGAUGAGCCCGCACACUGGUACUGAGACACGGACCAGACUCCUACGGGAGGCAGCAGUGAGGAAUAUUGGUCAAUGGGUGGAAGCCUGAACCAGCCAUGCCGCGUGCAGGAAGACGGCCUUAUGGGUUGUAAACUGCUUUUCUACGGGACGAACGGCUCUGACGUGUCAGAGAUUGACGGUACCGUAGGAAUAAGCAUCGGCUAACUCCGUGCCAGCAGCCGCGGUAAUACGGAGGAUGCGAGCGUUAUCCGGAUUUAUUAGGUUUAAAGGGUGCGUAGGCUGGGCCAAUAAGUCAGUGGUGAAAGUCCGCGGUUCAACCGUGGGAUUGCCAUUGAAACUGUUGUUCUUGAGUACAGUCGAGGUAGGCGGAAUGUGUAAUGUAGCGGUGAAAUGCAUAGAUAUUACCCAGAACACCGAUUGCGUAGGCAGCUUACCAGCCUGGAACUGACGCUGAUUGCACGAAAGCGUGGGGAGCGAACAGGAUUAGAUACCC
rnacentral:rRNA from 1 species